CCUACGGGUGGCAGCAGUGAGGAAUAUUGGUCAAUGGACGAGAGUCUGAACCAGCCAAGUAGCGUGAAGGAUGACUGCCCUAUGGGUUGUAAACUUCUUUUAUAAAGGAAUAAAACGAGGCACGUGUGCCUUUUUGCAUGUACUUUAUGAAUAAGGAUCGGCUAACUCCGUGCCAGCAGCCGCGGUAAUACGGAGGAUCCGAGCGUUAUCCGGAUUUAUUGGGUUUAAAGGGCGCGUAGAUGGGUUGUUAAGUCAGUUGUGAAAGUUUGCGGCUCAACCGUAAAAUUGCAAUUGAUACUGGCAGUCUUGAGUACAGUUGAGGUAGGCGGAAUUCGUGGUGUAGCGGUGAAAUGCUUAGAUAUCACGAAGAACCCCGAUUGCGAAGGCAGCUCACUAAACUGUGACUGACAUUGAUGCUCGAAAGUGUGGGUAUCAAACAGGAUUAGAUACCCCAGUAGUC
rnacentral:rRNA from 1 species